rnacentral:lncRNA from 1 species
CUUGGUAUGACACAAGAAUGUCAUAACAAAAAGUGGGAACAUGAGAUAGACUUAUGGCAAAUAAGGUUUAAGUUUCGAUGGUACAUGGUGAUGAGUGCGUCUCCAAAUUUAGUGGGAAAGUGACUUAGGUCUCCCACGAUCGCAAAUGAUAUGUCCAGGUUGCGACUGGAGAAUUCAGGUGACCCAGGCAGGCGUUACGCUUGGACAGAAGCACCUGCAAUAGGGAACACAAGUAGGGAAACAAAGGCAUUACUUUAGGGAACGCAAGCAGAACCAACAUUAGAACUUGCAGUAGAGGGACGCAGACAGGCAAAACUCAGGCAGACUGCAAACAUUUCGGUAGGGGAUGCAAUAGUAAUGCAAAUAGAUUGCAGCAAGGGACACAACAGUAACACAAGCUGGGGAUGUAGGCAGACAUCGACAGUAGAUGUAGGGACAAAAUCUGGUUUUUUAUGUAAAAGCCACUAUCAUGAGGAGGACGCAAUAUCGUGGACUACGGACGAUAGUUUUGGAUACAAGUGUGUGCCAACUUGUGCCUAUUGGACAACUUGCAAAAGAAGGCCAAAAUACACUUGACAACUUCCUUAAGGAAACAAAGUCCAACUUGGCCACCAUAGUGGAGACAUGUCCACUUGCGUAGACGUUGUAAAGAUUGUCCACUUGCAUGGAAAAUGACAUGCCACUAGCAUAGAGUUCAAAAGGGAUAAGAUGCAUUGCAACAUGACAACUUGCAAGUUGCCGUCACGGGCCUAGUUUGGUUACAUCUAAAAUACGCUAGAACCGUGUGGCCUUAAUGCACCACAAUACUCAUCCCCAAGAAAUAGCGUUAAGUCAGCUUUGAACCCUCACAAUAAUUUAACCAAAUGAGGCUAAAUUAUAUGUUAACUUUGGUAGAUAUGGUAGAUAGGAAAUUAUGAGGAAAAGAGAGUACCCAUAUAUUUUGGGGAAAACUUAUUUAUAGAAAUAUAAGAAAAAACUAUAUACAACCCCACUACUAUUUUCUCUCUACAAAGAUAUCACUCUAUCUUACUUUACUCCCAUUCUAUCCAUGGGAAUUUUCUCUCAACUCUCUCUAUU